CAGCACCUUCCAGGAUUAGAGCCUUUGCGCUGAGCUCUGGGCUGGCUUGGAUGGAUCCUGCCUGGUGCUAAGAGCCGCCUGGGAGGACCAGACUAAGGAUCCCCUGCCCAGAGGCACAUUUCAGCUGUGAGGGAGCAGAGUGGACCUCUAAGGAGCCAGGCACUGGUUUGCAUCGGACAGACAGAGCAGUCUCUGCUUUGCUGUGUCCUCCUCCAUCCGCAGGGAUAUUCUCCAGGGACAGGUCAGUUUGAAUGAGGAUAACAGCGAGGUGCAGGCCUGGCAUGUGCUCAGGCUGAGUGCUCAGCACAUCUUUCGUGAGAGCCGGUGAUGUUUCUCUGGGAACGAAUUUAAAGCUGGGAGGAAAUCACUUGCUGAAUGUCACACAGCAGCAGCUGUGGAAGGCUGGAGUCCCCAGACCCUGCUGCCCACCCUAUGGGCAUCAUUUGCUUGUCAAAAAGCUAGUUCAAUACAGAAAUGUCACGUUGCUUUUGUUUGUGAUGUGAUUCAGCUCAUUAAACAGUAAGG
rnacentral:lncRNA from 1 species